rnacentral:lncRNA from 1 species
AAAUAACAGUUAACUGACAAAUACACUAGACUUGGGCUCCAUUAGCGACCUUAAACAAUUUCACACAUUCGUUGAUUCAUGAAAUACCGUUUUAUCAUUUAUUGAACUUUAAAACCGUGAUAGGAAAUAAGGUGAGGGGUCCUUACACGUUUCGGGGUCCGAACACGGCUUCACAGUGUGCCUACAGGCUGUCCUUAAUUUUUCCUGAAUUUUUCUCGGGGAACUGAAACGCACCACUGGUACCUGCACGUGUUCCAAAAAAUCCCAAAUUAGGCCCAGGGCCCCUUUCGGCCAAUAUCGCAACUCCAGCACGGCGGCUCCGCCGUGCUCCGGCGACGGCACCGCCGCUGGCGGCGGCGAUUCGCCUCGGGUUGGCUGUUUUCGGCCGUUAUCGGCCGUUUCUGGCCGAAUUCGGCCACACUCGCAUCGGUCCCUGCGAGAAAACAACCCUAGGGCCCUCGAGGGGCCAAAAAAUCACAGAAAAACGGAGCUUACCGGCGGCGGCGCUCUCGGGUGCGGCGGCUCUCCGGCGAGGUUCGUGUUUUGGUGAUUCGGCUUUGGUCAACCUGUAGAGAAAAGAAUGGUGAU